ACCUCGAUGGCUUAGAUGGUUAGAGCAUCUGCCUUAUAAACAGGAGAUCCCGGGUUCGAGUCCCGGUCGAGGUA